CAGGACGAACGCUGGCGGCGUGCUUAACACAUGCAAGUCGAGCGGAAAGGCCACUUCGGUGGUACUCGAGCGGCGAACGGGUGAGUAACACGUGAGUAAUCUGCCCUCCACUUUGGGAUAGCCACCGGAAACGGUGAUUAAUACCGGAUAUGACCAUUUCUCGCAUGGGUUUUGGUGGAAAGUUUUUCGGUGGGGGAUGUGCUCGCGGCCUAUCAGCUUGAUGGUGGGGUAAUGGCCUACCAUGGCUUCGACGGGUAGCCGGCCUGAGAGGGUGACCGGCCACACUGGGACUGAGACACGGCCCAGACUCCUACGGGAGGCAGCAGUGGGGAAUAUUGGACAAUGGGCGGAAGCCUGAUCCAGCAACGCCGCGUGAGGGAUGACUGCCUUCGGGUUGUAAACCUCUUUCAGCACAGACGAAGCGAAAGUGACG
rnacentral:rRNA from 1 species